rnacentral:rRNA from 1 species
GAUGAACGCUGGCGGCGUGCCUAAUACAUGCAAGUCGAGCGAACGGACGAGAAGCUUGCUUUUCUGAUGUUAGCGGCGGACGGGUGAGUAACACGUAGAUAACCUACCUAUAAGACUGGGAUAACUUCGGGAAACCGGAGCUAAUAUCGGAUAAUAUUUUGAACCGCAUGGUUCAAAAGUGAAAGACGGUCUUGCUGUCACUUAUAGAUGGAUCCGCGCUGCAUUAGCUAGUUGGUAAGGUAACGGCUUACCAAGGCAACGAUGCAUAGCCGACCUGAGAGGGUGAUCGGCCACACUGGAACUGAGACACGGUCCAGACUCCUACGGGAGGCAGCAGUAGGGAAUCUUCCGCAAUGGGCGAAAGCCUGACGGAGCAACGCCGCGUGAGUGAUGAAGGUCUUCGGAUCGUAAAACUCUGUUAUUAGGGAAGAACAUAUGUGUAAGUAACUGUGCACAUCUUGACGGUACCUAAUCAGAAAGCCACGGCUAACUACGUG